GCAUCGACAAGCCGUCGUGAAGAUAGGACAGAAGAGUCUGCUGAGGCCGGUGACAAGGCUGGCGUUACUAGACUUGGAGGAAAAACGUGAAGUUCCGGAAGGUUCCGGACUACACCCGGGGGAGACUGUUGACGCAGAAAUGGUGAACUGGCCACCCUGCCACCGUCGUUUUUAAAGCGGCGCCGAACCUGUCAAAGCGGUGCGUUGUUCGAAGUGACAGACGUCAACGAGUGACGGACGACCUGUCAAAAACCAUUUCCGGCCCUUCAUUCUUUUUACAGUUCGCAGUAAAACAAAGUGCAGCUCGCGUGUGGAAAAUAAAACCUUAACUAAAAAUAGGAUAGCAGUAGUGCAUAAGUAGUUUAUAGUGAAUAGUGUGUAUUUGAGCCAUAUUCACACAGUGAAAGUUAAAUACGUUGAGUUUGAGACGAGUUUAUUAACUCAACCAAUUGAGUCCAGAGCAUAGUUCGUUGUCCGAGUCCGCCGCCAGUCCGUUGAUCCGUAGAUACCUGAAAAGAGAAAGAAAAGUCUUGUCUCACGUGGACGUAAAAUCGAACCGUAGGGUGCGCAAACAAAGGGCACACCGAAUUUUGAAGCAACAACAACAACAACAACAACACCAAUAAUAAUAACAACAGAAUACAAAUAUCGUUCGCUAUCAAAACGGCUCGCCUAAUUAUUUGACCCU